rnacentral:rRNA from 1 species
AUUGAACGCUGGCGGCAGGCCUAACACAUGCAAGUCGAACGAGUGGCGGACGGGUGAGUAAUGUCUGGGAAACUGCCUGAUGGAGGGGGAUAACUACUGGAAACGGUAGCUCAUACCGCAUACCAUCGGAUGUGCCCCGAUGGGAUUAGCUUGUAGGUGGGGUAAAGGCUCACCUAGGCGACGAUCCCUAGCUGGUCUGAGAGGAUGACCCGCCACACUGGAACUGGGACACGGGCCAGACUACUACGGGAGGCAGCAGUGGGGAAUAUUGCACAAUGGGCGCAAGCCUGAUGCAGCCAUGCCGGUUGUAUGAAGAAGGCCUUCGGGUUGUAAAGUACUUUCAGCGGGGAGGAGUUACCCGCAGAAGAAGCACCGGCUAACUCCGUGCCAGCAGCCGCGGUAAUUC